CGGGUGGAGGAGUUUCCCGCUGUGGUGGCUGCAGUUCCUCAUGCGUCCACGACAUCUCCCCACGUCCGCGGACCUCCGCACUUUCUCGCGCUGUCCGCUGUGUCUCCGUCGCCGUCCUGCGCCAUCUCUCACGGCGCCUCAGGCCCUGCGCCGAUGAAGACCCUCUCUCGGACGGCUUUGCGGGCCCUGCCUCUGGCAGCGCCCCCUCCUCUCCGGCAGGACCCCGACCCGCUGCCUGCCGCGCCCUUACUGUGUCCGGGGUCGGAGCCGUCCCCUGGGACAGCCUUCGGUGACUGUGGCAGCGACCAAACAGGAGGCAAUCUGAGGAUGGAGGGAGUCGGGCUGUAGUGUGUUCAUUGCCUGAGAGCCGAUCCCCCUCAGCAUACGCGCCGUGCUUUCCUGUCGGUGAGCACAGUGGUUUCCUGCCAGGGAGGCUGACCACCUGCAGGAGUGUCACGUGGCCGCUGUUGCGUGAGACAUGUCGUCAGGGAGAGCGGGGACUGAGACGCAGAUGAUCUGCAGAGCCCUGCCUGGAGUUAGAGUGCUCUUGUUCCUGAGACCAUAGUGUGGCCGUUCAGGUACUGCAGUCACAGCCCGCACAGGUGGCCCUGCGUGCACAGAGGCUCCACAGGAGGCGUCAUCUUCAUGUCAGCCAGGCGCUAGGCCCUAGGGCCCCAGGUCAGCCUUAGAUGUGGAGAUUGAGGAGGUCCCAAGGCCAGUGACCUUGGGGUGACUUGGGAUCUGGGAUGGCUGGUAUUUCUCCCCAAGAUUCCUUUUGUUUGUGGACACCAACGGCACAGAGAAUGGAGAGUGCAGUCCACACAUGAAGAGCUCCCUGCUGACUGAUCAGAGCGUCACAGGAGAACUGUGCACCCAGCAAAGCGCUAGGCUGGGGGCUUGGGAGCCCCUUCAGCUGGCUCUGAGUCCUGACAGCAGCGCCCUUGGAGGGCCGUGGAAGGGAAGGCCGGCCCUGGUCCCUCUGCCGUGCCUGCGUGACUUCAGUGAGCAAGAGAUUUUCUUUUGAGUUGGCAGCUGCUCAGCAUCAUCACUUUCCUCUCCACCCGCACGUUCAGUAAACCGUAUGCACCUACCGCACCUGUGUUUUACGUCAGUAACGAGCCAUGUACCAGCGAGGAUGGGUACGGAGAUAGUGGGCCACAGGCCAGAUCCUGUUUCUACUCCUUGAGCUUGGCGCGUGGGCUCUUGUCGAGGUGUUCUGUUAGGAAGGAGGUGAACAAGCAUUGGUGGUUGGCUCAGGUUAGAACCAGUGAGAGUUGAGGGUAUCAAGGAACAGUCACGCCAGGGCUUGGGAAAGGUGACGGGGACCAGAGUGGGAGAUGCUGAUGUCAUUGGGGAAGCUGGGGGGCCUGACUCAUGAGUAUGUACCUGCUUGUGUGACCAACUGGCCCUGUUUGCCUGGGAUUGAGGGGUUUCCCAGGACAUGGGACGUUCAUUUCCAAAGCCAGGAAAGUCCUGGGCAAACUGGAACAAGUUGGUCAAAUUACCUGGGGUGUAAAAUACAUGGUUUCAACUUGAGAGGACAGGUUACUGAGUAAAGGUGAGAAUGGUGAACGUGGAAUUGCCAUUGGUGGACUUAGGCUUUUGGAGACUAUUGGGGUAAAAUCAACAAUUGCACUGAGGACAUGUAUGUGAACUUUUUAAACUCCAUUUUAUAGAUGGAGGGGUCUACAUGAGGAAAUAUGUCCCAGAGGUUGGACUUCAUUGUCCAGGUUCUGCAUUUGGAAUUGAAACCACCUUGGCUGAACUGAGGCAGGAUUCAGGCUGUCAGGCGUGCUGUGGUGGCUGUGACACCCUGAGGGUCUCCUGCAGGGGCAGGCAUUCUUCAUUGCUGAAGUGUUCUACUCUGCCAGCCAGUUCCUGGCACAGGUGUGCAGAAGUGGAAAGUCCUUUUUCUGUCUUGCUCCAAGGACUGUCCUCUGACUUCUGUUGUCACCUUUAUUCAGCGGGUUGUAACUGCCUGGAAAGAUGCCAAGAGGAGUCUGGGCCCCCUGGAGACAGCUGUGACUGGGUGCGGUGUUUGCUGCUGUGCCGGGGCAGCAGCAGGACACAGGCCAGUACUUAACAGACGAUCCUGGGGACACCGGACAGCAGGUCAUCAUGGCCGCCCUGCUCCUGCCCUGUGAAGCAGGAGCCGUCCCAGGUCUGCAGGGCCUGAGGACAUCCGAGGAGAGCAUUCAACCGAGGUGACCCAGGAACCAGGUCUAGAAGGCACAAACCUUGGCCGGGAAAUGGCCUCACCGGAGCAGCUGGUGGGAGAUUAACUAGACGUAGGGGUACAAUGGUGAACAAGACAGUUUGUGCGCUCAGGAGGGUCACUGAUAAACAGAAAAUGUGUCUGCACACCAAACGUUACAGAACAUGCAACUGCUGGGCGCUGUAGGUGUUGGGUAUGCAGCUCUAAAGAAAAUGGGAUGCCUCCUGAGCUUGCUGAGAACUGCUGUCCGUUAUGGUAAGCCACCCGCCACAUGUGCUGUUUAACUUGAUUUAAAUAAAAAUUCAAAAUUCAGGUCUUGGCUUGUAUCAGCCAUAUUUCAAGUGCUUGAAAGCCACAAGUAGCUGUGGGGUUGGACAGUGCAGAUACAUGUUGAUGGAAUAGUCCCAUCAUUGCAGGAAGUUCAGACAUCACCAGUCUAGAAGAUGAGUUGAAUUCUAUGAAAGGAGUUGCUGGGACACCUUUACAGAAAGGCUGUCAUUUGAG